UCUCUGAAAACACCGGUUCUCAUUUGAUCACUGAAGUUAAGCAAUGUCAAGUGUUGUCAGUACUUGGAUGGGAGACCACUUGGAAACAUCAGGUGCUAUA